CCGUAGCCCAAGAGAUCGGGAUAACACCUGGAAACAGAUGCUAAUACCGGAUAACAACAGAUGAUGCCUAUCAACUGUUUAAAAGAUGGUUAUGCUAUCACUCUUGGAUGGACCUGCGGUGCAUUAGCUAGUUGGUAGGGUAACGGCCUACCAAGGCGAUGAUGCAUAGCCGAGUUGAGAGACUGAUAGGCCACAUUGGGACUGAGACACGGCCCAAACUCCUACGGGAGGCAGCAGCU
rnacentral:rRNA from 1 species